GAUGAACGCUGGCGGCGUGCCUAAUACAUGCAAGUCGAGCGAACAGACGAGGAGCUUGCUCCUCUGACGUUAGCGGCGGACGGGUGAGUAACACGUGGAUAACCUACCUAUAAGACUGGGAUAACUUCGGGAAACCGGAGCUAAUACCGGAUAAUAUAUUGAACCGCAUGGUUCAAUAGUGAAAGACAGUUUUGCUGUCACUUAUAGAUGGAUCCGCGCCGCAUUAGCUAGUUGGUAAGGUAACGGCUUACCAAGGCAACGAUGCGUAGCCGACCUGAGAGGGAGGGGGGCCACCUGGGAACUGGACACGGGCCCAGCCUCCUGGGGGGGGAGCAAGGAGGAAUUUUCACGAAUUGGCGAAAGGCCGGACGAAGCCGGGCGGGGGGGGGAAUAAAGUUUUUGGGCUCUGAAACUGUUUUUAUGGGGGAAAAAAAAAUGUUAAAGAACCCAGGCACUUCUGGAGGGUACCUAAUAAAAAGCCCAGGCCUAACUAGUGC
rnacentral:rRNA from 1 species